rnacentral:rRNA from 1 species
UACGUAGGUGGCAAGCGUUUGUCCGGAUUUACUGGGCGUAAAGAGCGCGCAGGCGGUCGUUCAAGUCGCGUGUGAAAGCCCCCGGCUCAACUGGGGAGGGUCACGCGAUACUGAUCGACUCGAAGGCAGGAGAGGGAAGUGGAAUUCCCCGGUGUAGUGGUGAAAGUGCGUAGAUAUCGGGAGGAACACCAGUGGCGAAGGCGACUUCCUGGCCUGUUCUUGACGCUGAGGCGCGAAAGCUAGGGGAGCAACGGG